GGGACACGUGGUAUCCUGUCUGAAUAUGGGGGGACCAUCCUCCAAGGCUAAAUACUCCUGACUGACCGAUAGUGAACCAGUACCGUGAGGGAAAGGCGAAAAGAACCCCGGCGAGGGGAGUGAAAAAGAACCUGAAACCGUGUACGUACAAGCAGUGGGAGCACCUUCGGGUGUGACUGCGUACCUUUUGUAUAAUGGGUCAGCGACUUAUAUUCUGUAGCAAGGUUAACCGUAUAGGGGAGCCGCAGGGAAACCGAGUCUUAACUGGGCGUUAAGUUGCAGGGUAUAGACCCGAAACCCGGUGAUCUAGCCAUGGGCAGGUUGAAGGUUGGGUAACACUAACUGGAGGACCGAACCGACUAAUGUUGAAAAAUUAGCGGAUGACUUGUGGCUGGGGGUGAAAGGCCAAUCAAACCGGGAGAUAGCUGGUUCUCCCCGAAAGCUAUUUAGGUAGCGCCUCGUGAACUCAUCUUCGGGGGUAGAGCACUGUUUCGGCUAGGGGGUCAUCCCGACUUACCAACCCGAUGCAAACUACGAAUACCGAAGAAUGUUAUCACGGGAGACACACGGCGGGUGCUAACGUCCGUCGUGAAGAGGGAAACAACCCAGACCGCCAGCUAAGGUCCCAAAGUCAUGGUUAAGUGGGAAACGAUGUGGGAAGGCACAGACAGCCAGGAUGUUGGCUUAGAAGCAGCCAUCAUUUAAAGAAAGCGUAAUAGCUCACUGGUCGAGUCGGCCUGCGCGGAAGAUGUAACGGGGCUAAACCAUGCACCGAAGCUGCGGCAGCGACACUAUGUGUUGUUGGGUAGGGGAGCGUUCUGUAAGCCUGCGAAGGUGACCUGUGAGGGUUGCUGGAGGUAUCAGAAGUGCGAAUGCUGACAUAAGUAACGAUAAAGCGGGUGAAAAGCCCGCUCGCCGGAAGACCAAGGGUUCCUGUCCAACGUUAAUCGGGGCAGGGUGAGUCGACCCCUAAGGCGAGGCCGAAAGGCGUAGUCGAUGGGAAACAGGUUAAUAUUCCUGUACUUGGUGUUACUGCGAAGGGGGGACGGAGAAGGCUAUGUUAGCCGGGCGACGGUUGUCCCGGUUUAAGCAUGUAGGCUGGUUAUCCAGGCAAAUCCGGAUAAUCAAGGCUGAGGUGUGAUGACGAGGCACUACGGUGCUGAAGUAACAAAUGCCCUGCUUCCAGGAAAAGCCUCUAAGCAUCAGGUAACAUCAAAUCGUACCCCAAACCGACACAGGUGGUCAGGUAGAGAAUACCAAGGCGCUUGAGAGAACUCGGGUGAAGGAACUAGGCAAAAUGGUGCCGUAACUUCGGGAGAAGGCACGCUGGUGUGUAGGUGAAGUCCCUGCGGAUGGAGCUGAGACCAGUCGAAGAUACCAGCUGGCUGCAACUGUUUAUUAAAAACACAGCACUGUGCAAACACGAAAGUGGACGUAUACGGUGUGACGCCUGCCCGGUGCCGGAAGGUUAAUUGAUGGGGUUAUCCGUAAGGAGAAGCUCUUGAUCGAAGCCCCGGUAAACGGCGGCCGUAACUAUAACGGUCCUAAGGUAGCGAAAUUCCUUGUCGGGUAAGUUCCGACCUGCACGAAUGGCGUAAUGAUGGCCAGGCUGUCUCCACCCGAGACUCAGUGAAAUUGAACUCGCUGUGAAGAUGCAGUGUACCCGCGGCAAGACGGAAAGACCCCGUGAACCUUUACUAUAGCUUGACACUGAACAUUGAGCCUUGAUGUGUAGGAUAGGUGGGAGGCUUUGAAGCGUGGACGCCAGUCUGCGUGGAGCCAACCUUGAAAUACCACCCUUUAAUGUUUGAUGUUCUAACGUUGGCCCCUGACCGGGGUUGCGGACAGUGUCUGGUGGGUAGUUUGACUGGGGCGGUCUCCUCCCAAAGCGUAACGGAGGAGCACGAAGGUUAGCUAAUCCUGGUCGGACAUCAGGAGGUUAGUGCAAUGGCAUAAGCUAGCUUGACUGCGAGCGUGACGGCGCGAGCAGGUGCGAAAGCAGGUCAUAGUGAUCCGGUGGUUCUGAAUGGAAGGGCCAUCGCUCAACGGAUAAAAGGUACUCCGGGGAUAACAGGCUGAUACCGCCCAAGAGUUCAUAUCGACGGCGGUGUUUGGCACCUCGAUGUCGGCUCAUCACAUCCUGGGGCUGAAGUAGGUCCCAAGGGUAUGGCUGUUCGCCAUUUAAAGUGGUACGCGAGCUGGGUUUAGAACGUCGUGAGACAGUUCGGUCCCUAUCUGCCGUGGGCGCUGGAGAAUUGAGGGGGGCUGCUCCUAGUACGAGAGGACCGGAGUGGACGCAUCACUGGUGUUCGGGUUGUCAUGCCAAUGGCACUGCCCGGUAGCUAAA
rnacentral:rRNA from 1 species